CUCAGGGUCUCACCCACAUGGACAAAUGGACCAUCAGGGACCACAUCGAUGGCAAGGUAAAGAAACUCCUGAACACUCAGUGAGGGUAGAGUAUAGCGGGGCAAGAGUGAGGUGGUGUGGGUAUAGCCGUACUGAGGAACACACUAUGGAGCAGAUACCCAGCUCAGCAUUUCAAAUGCCCAGACUAGACGAGCUAAGGAAUGACAAGAAAGAAACGCCUCGAACGAAGUGUAAACUGUUGGUGUGUUAUGGGAGGGGCUGGAGGACAAAGGCUCGGGCAAUGUGGUUGUCGCAAAUACCAGGAGGUUCAAAGGUCGUCCUGUGGACUUCAGACAACAGUGGAGAGGGCUAUGUGGUUGUGGUUUGUAUCAGCAGUGGCAAUGACAAGCAGGGCUUCCCCAUGAAGCAAGGUGUCCUCACUAAUGGCCGUGUUAAAGCUCCUCCUCAAGAAGGGGCACAGUUGUUACAGACCCAGACGCACUGGAGAGAGGAAACGCAAGUCAGUGAGGCUGCAUAGUGGACAGUAACUUGAGUGUGCUCAAUCUAGUCAUCAUCAAGAAAGUACUGCUGUCAAGCACACAAUCAAGUUGGGGCGUCACCAACUUGCCCUCGAUUGAUCUGUGCCCGGCCCUACACUGUGUUCCGAUGGUGUCCUGGUGCUAAGAUGCGCUACAAGAGAACAGAGGUCUGCCAAUCAUGUGCCCAACUCAAGAACGUCUGUCAAACCUGUCUCCUUGGUGAGCCCUGUCACUAUAUAACCCUCUCUCUGUUGCUAUGGUGACACACAAUCAUCAGUACACUGCAUUCAAUACUUCCUAGAACAACUUUUUUCAAGUCAUGAAUUUGUAUAAAAAGUCUCACAGUAUAUCUCUCCAGGGUGUCAUACAGGGAAAUAAGAAAAGUAACCAGAAAAUGUUGUUAAAAAAAGGUCAACUGUUAUUUCAAUACCCAGCUAUGGACACUCAGUCAUCAUUGAAAGGGGGGGAAAAUUGGAGCUAGGGGGGAUAUCCCCCUUCCCCCCCCUGUAUGACACCCUGCUCUCUGUUUCCAUACAUAGUCUAAUAAAGGUCGCGUGUAGCUCUAAGGUCAGUGUGUAAGGUCAAGUUUCUUAGCUUUACUCGCUUUUAUUUGAGCAUUAAAAGUCUGUCACUCUUAAAACUAAUAACUUGUUGUGUGUAUGGAGGCUUUAUCCGAAUAGCCGCGGUUAUGAUUUCAUACGUAGUACCGCCCACCGCGGAACCAUUUUUACAAGUAUACUUCCAGUUUUCAGCCCUUAGCAAAAAAAGGUGCGUAGCUUCGAAACCGUAGCAGUUUUCUUUGGGCAACUUUGCUACUCUAUCAGGAUCUCCUGGACUCCAACGGAAUUGUCAACCAGCUAAGGCCACAGCGAAGGAUCCUUUUAGAGGUAACUUCCUAGCAAACUAGUCUACAGCAGUUACUCGUCAGGAUCUCCUGGUUUCCAAUGGAACAGUCUACCAGCCAAUGCCACAGCGAAGGAUUAAUUCAGAGCAUUCGCCUCUGGCAAAGAAAGAUGCAACUAACUUUUAGGCAACUGCCUAGCAUUCUCUGUCGGGAUCUCCUGGUUUGGAACGGACCAGCCAAGGCCACAGCACUUCAUAGGUAAGCUUUGUGGCUGUGUAUUAAACUGCUAGUACGCUUACUCUACAUAUAGAUAGCUUGUAAAGUAGUAAAUGUACACUGGUUACGUGUUACAGUCAGUACUAAGUAUUUCUACUCAUGUUCAACAGGCAGGAUAAAAACUCAUAGGAGUUGACGCUUUAUACAACUAGUUACAUGUUCUUAUGCCAAAACAGUCAGAUGAGGGAUUGCCAGUGUGGCAAAACCACUUCUCGCACUGUAGGCAAAACCAUGCUGUGUCCUUCCUUUUGUUUUUCUGAUAACACAGAUGGCAACGACCUCUGCGUACAUCCUGGUGGUGAAGAGGGAAGUGAGCUAUUCCUAGCGAUUUCAAGGGUGUCUUGCUUUUUUUGGAGCAGUAGUCGCCAAUUAGCUUCUUGGCCAACUCGUGACGAAAUGAGAGGAGGGUUUUCAGUGCGUUGGGCAUCUGUAGUACCCUCUGAGCUGAUCCCCUCUGUCGACACCCCCCAUGAAGCGAUUAUAGUCCUCGAUGCUCUGUGAGCACGGGACGGAGAUUUUUUCGCCUGUCUUGACUGUACGUUGUACAGAGAUGACCGAAGUGGCGUCAGAGGCUGUGGAGAUCACACGGACAACCCUAUUGUCGCUGAGACCGUCACCUUUUUCUUUCUGGAGAGUCAUGUAUUCCCCCCUGAAAAGGUAAAUAAUAAUUAUGCUUAUUACUUUCUGUCAGCUUUGGCUGCUUGAGAGCCUUGGAGAAGCCUCUGCGGUCAGCGCGAGCUGUACCACAAGUAUAAAUGCCAUCCUUCUCCAAGUCUUCUAACAGUUUGACAGACGUGAAAAAGUUGUCAAAAUAGACGUGGUGGUGCUUGUGCUUCAACGAGGCUGUGAGGUCUUUCACAACUCGUGCUCCCAGUUGCUUCUCUGGUGUGGCUUCUCUCCCUGUAUACACUGUAGCAUGUGGAAGUACCCGUCUGCUAGGACCCAAACCUUGAUUCCUCUCUUCACAGGUUUAUUUGGGAGGUACUGUUUCAGUGCAGAUCUACCCUGAAACUUUAUCAUUGCCUCGUCUACUGCAACUUCACGGCCUAAGUUGUAUGCAGCAGAACAACGCUCGUUGAUCUUAUUGAAGAGGGGGCGUACUUUGGCCAAACGAUCGCUACCUGGGGUGCCUGGAGUCGGGAGAGUGGUGUUGUCCGUGAAAUGGAGGUAUCGUCGGAUGUCCCUAAAGCGAUCGCGUGAGAUCUUCGAUGCAAUUG